GAUGAACGCUGGCGGCGUGCCUAAUACAUGCAAGUCGAGCGAACAGACGAGGAGCUUGCUCCUCUGACGUUAGCGGCGGACGGGUGAGUAACACGUGGAUAACCUACCUAUAAGACUGGGAUAACUUCGGGAAACCGGAGCUAAUACCGGAUAAUAUAUUGAACCGCAUGGUUCAAUAGUGAAAGACGGUUUUGCUGUCACUUAUAGAUGGAUCCGCGCCGCAUUAGCUAGUUGGUAAGGUAACGGCUUACCAAGGCAACGAUGCGUAGCCGACCUGAGAGGGUGAUCGGCCACACUGGAACUGAGACACGGUCCAGACUCCUACGGGAGGCAGCAGUAGGGAAUCUUCCGCAAUGGGCGAAAGCCUGACGGAGCAACGCCGCGUGAGUGAUGAAGGUCUUCGGAUCGUAAAACUCUGUUAUUAGGGAAGAACAAAUGUGUAAGUAACUAUGCACGUCUUGACGGUACCUAAUCAGAAAGCCACCGCUAACUACGUG
rnacentral:rRNA from 1 species